CGGGACCUUCGGGGCCCUACAACCAUGGCGCCUUACGGGGCGUCGCCAAGCAAACGGAAGACAGAUAA
ncrna:Thalassobium sp. R2A62 L2-Alphaproteobacteria ribosomal protein leader